rnacentral:pre_miRNA from 1 species
UAGAUACUCCCUCCGUUCGGAAUUACUUGUCUCGAAAAUGGAUGUAUCUAGAAUUGAAAUACGUCUAGAUACAUCCAUUUCUGCGACAAGUAAUUCCGAACGGAGGGAGUAUAUG